rnacentral:rRNA from 1 species
GACGAACGCUGGCGGCGUGCCUAAUACAUGCAAGUCGAACGCAGUGGGGACGGGUGAGUAACACGUGGGUAACCUCCCAUCAGAGGGGAUAACACUUGGAAACAGGUGCUAAACCGAUACUGAUGGAUGGACCCGCGGUGCAUUAGCUAGUUGGUGAGGGAACGGCUCACCAAGGCCACGAUGCAUAGGUGUGCGGAGGGGGUGAUCGGCCACACUGGGACUGAGACACUGCCCAGACGGCUAAGAGCGGCAGCAGUAGGGAAUCUGAGGCAAGGGACGCAAGUCUGACCGAGCCACGGCGCGGGAUUGAAGAUGGUUUCGGGAUCGUAGAGCUCGGUUGUUAGAGAGGAGGUAUUUGACCAGGAAGCCACGGCUAAUUACGGCCCAGCAGCCGCGGUAAUAC